rnacentral:rRNA from 1 species
UACGGAGGGUGCGAGCGUUAAUCGGAAUUACUGGGCGUAAAGCGUGCGCAGGCGGUUUUGUAAGCCAGAUGUGAAAUCCCCGGGCUUAACCUGGGAAUGGCAUUUGGGACUGCAAGGCUUGAGUGCGGCAGAGGAGACUGGAAUUCCUGGUGUAGCAGUGAAAUGCGUAGAUAUCAGGAGGAACACCGAUGGCGAAGGCAGGUCUCUGGGCUGACACUGACGCUCAUGCACGAAAGCGUGGGGAGCAAACAGG